rnacentral:rRNA from 1 species
UCACCUGUUUUUCAAAAACAUGUCUUAAAGAAUAAUAAUUUUAAGUCAAAUCUGCUCAAUGAUUAUUUUAAAUAGCUGCAGUAUAAAUAACUGUACUAAGGUAGCAUAAUAAAUAGUUUUUUAAUUGAAAACUAGAAUGAAUGAUUUAAUGAAAAAUAAACUGUUUCAAAUUUAUUAAAUAAAUUUAUUCUUUAAGUAAAAAAAUUUAAAUAAAUUUUAAAGACGAGAAGACCCUAAAGAAUUUUGAUAAUUUUUUUUAAUAUUAUUUUAUAAAAAAUUAUUUUAAUUGGGGAAAUUUUAAAAUUUAAUAAAUUUUUAAUUAAAUUUAAAACAUUUAUUUUUGAAUAAAUUUUAUUUUUUAAAAAAAUAAAUUUAAAUUACCUUAGGGAUAACAGCAUAAUUUUUUUAUAAAGUUCUAAUUAAUAAAAAAGUUUAUGACCUCG